rnacentral:rRNA from 1 species
UACAGAGGUCUCAAGCGUUGUUCGGAUUCAUUGGGCGUAAAGGGUGCGUAGGCGGCGCGGUAAGUCGGGUGUGAAAUUUCGGAGCUUAACUCCGAAACUGCAUUCGAUACUGCCGUGCUUGAGGACUGGAGAGGAGACUGGAAUUUACGGUGUAGCGGUGAAAUGCGUAGAUAUCGUAAGGAAGACCAGUGGCGAAGGCGGGUCUCUGGACAGUUCCUGACGCUGAGGCACGGAGGCCAGGGGAGCAAACGGG